CGCCGUCCCCUCCCGCGUCCCGACUCNGAGUCUCGGAGGGCAGCAUAGGGAAUCUUGCGCAAUGGCGAAAGCCUGACGCAGCAACGCCGCGUGGGGGACGAAGGCUUUCUGAGUUGUAAACCCUUUCAGCAGGGACGAUUGUGACGGUACCUGCAGAGAAGCACCGGCCAACUAUGUGCCAGCCGCCGCGGUAAUUC
rnacentral:rRNA from 1 species